rnacentral:rRNA from 1 species
UACGUAGGGUGCAAGCGUUGUCCGGAAUUAUUGGGCGUAAAGAGCUCGUAGGCGGUUUGUCGCGUCUGCUGUGAAAACGCGAGGCUCAACCUCGGGCCUGCAGUGGGUACGGGCAGACUAGAGUGCGGUAGGGGAGAUUGGAAUUCCUGGUGUAGCGGUGGAAUGCGCAGAUAUCAGGAGGAACACCAAUGGCGAAGGCAGAUCUCUGGGCCGUAACUGACGCUGAGGAGCGAAAGCAUGGGGAGCAAACAGGAUUAGA